CAAACACCAUCUGGCCCUGAAAUACGAACGAGCACCGGAGGAUGGCUCCAUCUCCUGGGAAUCUGGGCUGCAACUGGGCUCCGGCUUGCUUUCCUAUCUGCCCGAGACUGUCCUGGCUGGGGGCAGGUGGGGCGCUCACCUGCAGAGCUCUCCAAGAGUGAGGAAGGCCUUUCUCCUGAAAAGUUGCUGAGAUCUUCUCGUCACCCAGCCUGCCUGCUGUGAGCCUUCUUGCCAGAGCCUCCUCCCCGAGCAUCCCAAGUGUGGAGAUUAGCGAAGCGCCCCAUCGUAUCUGCCUUUCACAUGGCUUUCAAGCUCCUACCGCGACUCAUCAGGCCUGUGUGGCAAACACGUUUGCUCGCUGAGCCACCUUUCUGGCCCACUCUUUGCUGUAAUUGCCUUUAUGACUGCAGAUCUCUCGGACUCUAGAUCCAUGGCGCUGAAGAAUUCACUGUCUUGUUCAUCUUGUUGAUGCUGCUGCCUAGUUCAGUGCCCGUCAUUCCCCUAUGUACGAUGACUGCAUAUGGACUGAGCGAAUGAUUGGUCUUUUUAUUCGCUUAUUCUCACUGGCCUGCACUGUGUGUCAGGUAGUGGGAACAGAAGGACAGGGAACCAGAAUCUCUUGAAUGUCCUCAAAGGCUGGCCUGUAAGGUUAGCGUGCAGAUAGCUCCAUUCUAUCUGACAAUAUGAUCCGAGAAAUAGGAAACGAAAACCUGAAGGAGGUAUGUUUGUUUUCACUGGGUGGUGUCAGAGGGAGCUGGGAUAAGGAAGGUUCCCUAGAGAACAUUGCCUUUGAAAUAGGCCUCGGGGGAUCUGUAGAAUAUAUAUAUGAGGGGUAGAGAAAGGGCCUUCUCUUCAGCUAGAGAUUGACCUACAAGGACACAGAAGGACAGUGUGAUGCGGCUUUAUGUUACUUCUAUAAUGAAAAUAUUCACAUAUGGAAAAAAAGGUCCCUUCUCUGUUGUUUUAGCUGAAGAAGGCUUUGUUUACUUGAUGUUUGUUUACUCUGCCUGAUUCCCUAGGGUCUCCAUCUGGCUCCAUCAGAAAAGGCUUUGCCUUGUUUGUUUUCAGUCUCUCUUUGCUGUCAGUCUCCUUGAUUGACUUUCCCAAGUCACAUCUGGCAGGCUCAGAGGCCAGGAUGGCGCCCGGGAGGCUGCAGGCGUUUGGCUGGACCAGUAGAGCCUUCGGUGAUUGUCUGCAGCUGACAUGUCUCUGGUAGAGGACUCAUU